AUAAAAAUCUUCUCGAGGUG
rnacentral:tRNA from 1 species